GGUUCCUCAUCGGGCGACUGCCCCAGGACCUUGCCAUGUCCUUCACCAGCAAAGAGCUCCUGAAAUCAAGAGUGGCAAUGAUAAGCUUGGAAGCAACACUAACCCCGUGCACAUGCUCUCCAUCCUCCCACCCCAUCACUGGACACCACCUAUAACCUGAAGUGGGCUGACACCCUGAAAACCACGUCCAUGCACCUUGGUUUUGCCCACGGUGACCAGGUAGGAGGGAACUUGAGUUUUACAUUCUUCUAGGGUUUUCUCUUUCUGGAGCAUUGCAUAUCGUUUUUAGAGGAAAAUAACAAAAAUGGAAUCCUUGAAAGUCACUGGGGCCUCUUAGCCCCAACUAAUUAAGAGGCAGGUUAGACGGCGCUCCGAUGCAAGGUAACUUCUCAUCUGGCAUUUAAGACACUCACCCCAUCCCUGUGGGCCUCGGUUUAGCCACCUACAGAGGGGAUAUGAGUAAUAAUUAUCUCCUUUGGAGAGCUGCUGUGAGGGUUAAUUAACUCGUGCCUGGAACUGCUUGGAGCUGCUGGUGGCCGGGGUUUGGAGGGUGUGAACGUCACCAUCCAGAGUGCUGUUCUCAGAGGAGCCGUCACCUGCCUGCUGUCAAGAGGGCCUCUUGUGUCCCCAGCUAAUUGGGACCUGGGACAAGCCACAGGGCUUCUGCAGGCCUCGGAUGUCCUCCCCAGUAAAGGUUCAGAACUGACAGCCUGGAAGAUCAUGUCCAGCUCUAAGGCUUUGUGGAGGUGAUGCUGAGAGAGGCCGUUUGCAUCGUGGGUUCAUUUGCUUCUUGACAAUUUUGGGUCCCUGCUGAAGUGACUUUAGAGCAGGGAGAGCCGUUCAUCUCAAACUUCCCCGCAACCCAUCAGAGACAUGGGGCGGCAGAGGCAGCUCUGACCGGCCCAGGCACUGGAGCAAACCCAGAUGGGAAGACCUGGGCAGGCAACGCCAGGACCUGGUUCCAAUUCAGCCCGAGGACCCACGGGACCCUCUCCUUGUCACCGCCGAUGUUCUCUGCUUCUCCUUGCACUGGCUUUCUAAGAAAUCAGACACAGUAACACAAGACAGAGUCCUCAGAGGGUUUGAAAAAUGGAGAGACACUGACACAGCUGCAAGGAGGCAAAGGUGACAUUUUGUAAAGAAUGACGGCAGGGAUGGUGUGGGGGCAAUCCCCAAAUUAAAGAGACCAUGUGGCCGGGUGCUGUGGCUCACGCCUGUAAUCCCAGCACUUUGGGAGGCUGAGGUGGGCGGAUCACUUGAGGUCAGAAGUUCGAGAGCGGCCUGGCCAACAUGGCAAAAUCCCGUCUCUACUAAAGACACAAAAAUUGGCCAGGUAUGGUGGCGGGCGCCUGUAGUCCCAGCUACUCGAGAGGCUGAGGCAGGAGAAUCGCUUAAACCCAGGAGGUGGAGGUUGCACUGAGCCGAGACUGCACCACUACACUCCAGCCUGGGCAACAGAGAGAGACUCUGCCUCAGUAAAUAAAUAAAUAAAUAAAUAGACCAUAUGACCCAGUGGGACAGCCCAGGAGUGGUGCAUUCCACGGGUGGAAUCUGAGAGCUUGGGUGCUGGAUGGGGCCUUGGCCAGAGAAGCCUCACCCUGGACUGGUAGAGGCCUUACUCAAGGUCACCUGGCCAAUGGAAAGCAGGGGCCGGGUGUACUUUUCCCAAAACCUCCGACUCCUGGGCCAGGGCCUUCCUACCAUCUUAAGCACCGCCUGCUGGGAAGCUGGGUCUCCAAGGGCCAGUUCCAUCUGCUCCGAAACAGCAUGCACUCUGGAGAGAGUGCUGCAGACCUUCCGAGCGCUGGGCGUGUUGCCAACAGAACUGCAGCCCUCAGCAACCUUUGGGUGAAAGGAGAACUUUCUGGAACCUCAGCAAGGCUCAAUUUCCCCCUCAGCUCUGUGUGUGGGGAGAACUGAGUAAUUUCACUGAUAAACCCUGGAGUCACCGCUCACACUUAAUGAGCUGCCAUCUCCCCGGCUAAUGACGCCGCCGGAGUUUGCUCUGAGAUGGCGUUCCUUCCACCGGGAAAUGGGCGGCUCUUGAAACACAGAUCCUCACUCAGGCAGGGGAGGGACAGACAGUCCUGAGAAUUCAAGUGAAGACAGAGAAGUUGGAGUUGAGAAAACACCGCCUCCCAUAAUGACACAAGGCUUACGGGCUCAGGUGCUCAGGAGGCCCCAUGGAGCAGGCCGGGCAGCACCAUUUCACAGGGAGGAAACUGAGCUCUGACCCACAGAGCUACAUCACUGUUUGAUUGAUUGAUUGAUUGACUGACUGAUUGAUUGAUUGAAACAGGGUCUUGCUCUGCCACCCAGGCUGGAGUGCAGUGGUGCGAUCUUGACUCACUGCAACCUCCACCUCCUGGGCUCAAGUGAUCCCCCCUUGAGUGGCUGGGAACACAGGCACACAUCACCAUGCCUGGCUAAUUUUUGUACUUUUUGUAGAGACAGGGUCUUGCUAUAAUGCCCAGACUGGUCUCAGACUCCUGGGCUCAAGUGAUCCGCUGCCUUGGCCUCCCAGAGUACUGGGAUUACAGGCAUGAGCCACCACACACAGCCCCAUGGCACUACCUUAAAUGAGCUUGUAGCGGGCUUGCAUGGUAGAAGGUAUUUCAGGACUGAGAAUAGAACCCGUAGAGUACACAGGAAAAUACGCUUUCUCCCUGGGGCCUUGGCCUGAAGCAUCCUCCUCCCCCCUCCCCACUAUUUUAUCGCCCUGUAGCCCUGAAAGUUACCACAUCGUUAUUUUAUGUCGUUUGCAUUUUUAAAAAAUCUGGGCAUUUCUCCAUCAGCUGGGAAGGACACUGGUGUUGAGGUUGAUGUCCCUAUCAAGGACGAUAACCGCCAAAGCUUCCAGUGCUUUGACAAAACCUCAGAUGCGUGGCCUUCUGGCCAACGUCUGCAAUUUCCCGUACUGAGCAUUCACUGUCUCUCUGGGGGCUGCAGCUCUCUGUAAGUCUGCUGUGGCUGAACCAAGAAAGAGUCAUUCGCAGAUUUCUACAGCAAUUAGGAUUCCGUGAAGGAUUUUGAGGAGAUGAGGAAGGCUGGUAUCUUUCAGAGUGCAAGGUGAUUUUGGAAUAUAGAUAAUCUUCUUGGGUUGACCUAAAAGUUUGUCGCUGACCUAUGUUCCUGAACUAUGAAACAUGAAUAUGUGA
rnacentral:lncRNA from 10 species